rnacentral:rRNA from 1 species
CAGCAGCCGCGGUAAUACGAAGGGGGCUAGCGUUGUUCGGAAUUACUGGGCGUAAAGCGCACGUAGGCGGAUAUUUAAGUCAGGGGUGAAAUCCCAGAGCUCAACUCUGGAACUGCCUUUGAUACUGGGUAUCUUGAGUAUGAAAGAGGUGAGUGGAAUUCCGAGUGUAGAGGUGAAAUUCGUAGAUAUUCGGAGGAACACCAGUGGCGAAGGCGGCUCACUGGUCCAUUACUGACGCUGAGGUGCGAAAGCGUGGGGAGCAAACAGGAUUAGAUACCCCUGUAGUCCCUGUCUCUUAUAU